GUUGGAAAAGACCCACAGGAUCAUCCAGUCCAACCAUUCGCCCUUCACCAAUGGUUCUCGCUAAACCAUGUCCCUCAAUACAACAUCCAAACGCUCUUUGAACACCACCAGGCUCGGUGACUCCACCACCUCCCUGGGCAGCCCAUUCCAGUGCCUGACCACCCUUUCAGAGAAGUAGUAUUUCCUAACGUCCAGCCUGAACCUUCCCUGGCACAGCUUGAAGCCAUUCCCUCUAGUCCUAUCACUAGUCACAUGAGAGAAGAGGCUGACCCCCAGCUCACUACAACCUCCCUUCAAGUAGUUAUAGAGAGCAAUCAGGUCUCCCCUGAGCCUCCUCUUCUCUAGACUGAACAAUCCCAGCUCCUUCAGCCACUCUUCAUAAGGCCUGUGCUCCAGACCCCUCACCAGCUUUGUUGCCCUCCUCU
ensembl:lncRNA